rnacentral:rRNA from 1 species
UACGAAGGGGGGCUAGCGUUGCUCGGAAUCACUGGGCGUAAAGCGCACGUAGGCGGCUUCUUAAGUCAGGGGUGAAAUCCUGGAGCUCAACUCCAGAACUGCCUUUGAUACUGAGGAGCUUGAGUCCGGGAGAGGUGAGUGGAACUGCGAGUGUAGAGGUGAAAUUCGUAGAUAUUCGCAAGAACACCAGUGGCGAAGGCGGCUCACUGGCCCGGUACUGACGCUGAGGUGCGAAGGCGUGGGGAGCAAACAGG